rnacentral:rRNA from 1 species
UACGUAGGGGGCUAGCGUUGUCCGGAUUUAUUGGGCGUAAAGAGCGUGUAGGCGGCCAGGUAGGUCUGGUGUGAAAACUCGAGGCUUAACCCCGAAACGGCACUCGAAACUGCCCGGCUGGAGGGCCGGAGAGGAGAUCGGAAUUCACGGUGUAGCAGUGAAAUGCGUAGAGAUCGUGAGGAAGACCCGUGGCGAAGGCGGAUCUCUGGACGGCUAACUGACGCUGAGGCGCGAAGGCCAGGGGAGCAAACGGG